CAUCCUUACGACACGAGUUUGUUGCUCGCAAGCGUAGAACAAUAUCAACAAAGGUUGCUUGUCAGCGAGCCCGCCUACUACUCGGCUGUCGAUCGACUGAUCUACAUAAAAAAAACUCCUGUGUCCUAAUAAGAUCCAGAGAUGGUCUUGUGGUUAAAGCUUUUGCCUUGAGUUCAGGAGAACCGAGACAGAAAAUGAGACCUGCAUGUUGGCCGACAGGUGCUGCUGCUUCGAGUCAAGCCGGGCCAGGAAAAGGUUAACAACAUCUUUCUAUUUUUAAUGGGAACACUUGAACUGGGCAGACCACACACAUACUCCUUCUUGCGCUUCCUAAGUGAGUACAAAAACUAACCAAAAUAAAAAAAAUAUUGUGGUCGAAAUAAUUUUGCCCAAAUAACCCUAACCCUAUCAAAUAAAUAAAAAAAUAAUAUUGUGUUCAAAAUAAUUUUGCCCAAAUAACCCUGACCCUGUCAAACAAAAUCAAUACAAAUUGAAUAUUGUAUUGUGGUCAAAAUAAUUUUGCCCAAAUAUUUCUUACUGAAGACGAAAAGCAUCACCACAACAAGAACAUACGACAUAUUCUUUAUUAAGACAAGUACUCAUCAGGUUGUGUGUAUUUUUUUUUCCUUUUGUAAAAAUGUUGGUGAACCAAUACAAAAGAUGCAUGGCCAGACGACAAUCAAAAGUGUUCGCUACAUUAAAGAAAAAAAAAAAAGAAGACAACGUUAAAGCAUUUUUUGUGAGUAGCAAAACACAAAGCAGCUCCUCGUCCUCCUUCCCCUCUUGGACAUGUUACAGGAAAUACAUGUACAUCAUAUCUUGUAUGCAAAACAUUCACAACUGAACAUACGAGAGGAAGAAGUUUGAGAAACAUCGACUGUACACGUGGUGCUAGUCCGCUGGAUGGCCAAGUCUACUCUGGCAUUUUUGUGGUUGCUCAACAAAGUAGUGACAAAUCCAUCUACAUCGGUUUGAAUAGCUGCUGUU